GUCCAGCAAUGGUGUUCACAUUAUUUGGCUCCGUGUCCUUCCUAGAACGUGGUGGCCACACAUCACUCAAAGUGCUGAAUUGGCAAAAUAUGACACGAAAGGACUGAAGACUGCUGUGAACACGCCCACAACACCGCAGACUUCAAUUCGCCAAAAUUACCAAUACCGGGUCUGACCUGACUCCACAGAGGAAUACCAGUCACAAAAACAGAGCCCUAAGUCAAAUGACCCUCUGGAGAGUUCGACGCAUGCAGGAGGAGGCUGUUGUCAACGCCGUCGAGGCUUUUUCGGCACACUGGACAGGUAUCAUGCUGGAAGAGCUGAGCUGGGUGGCAAGAACAAUAAAGGCACCUUCCCUGGUCGCCAUCGUGCUUUUUUUUUCCUUCUCACCCACCCACUGCGAAGUCCCGUCUCAUUUAUGCAUUGACGUACGUGCACACACACACACUAAGCUUGUUGCUGCAAUACCUGUAACAACCGUAAUAAACAACAAAUACCGUAAUAAAUGCAAGCAGCACUCGCUCGCUCACAACUACCGUAAUAAACUGAAGCAAAGUGCGCGUGUGCACAGAACUUCAAUAUGCUUUUGUGCCUUCAGGAGAGCCGGACAAAAGGAAGCAAAGAGCCACAUGCGGCUCGAGAGCCGCGGGUUGGCCACCCCACUGCAUUAUAGAGAAUGAAUGGUUGAAUCAUUACAUGCUAGUGUUUAGCAUUUCUGUCCGACAAUUCUUGCAAACUAUUCAUUAACCCUUUUCAAAAUAAAACUCAAUACCUCUUCACCUGUUCCAGACUGGUUGUUAACUUAAGCAUUUCCCAGAUCAUUUUCAAUUGUCAUAAAAGAUGGUCUAUCAAUACUCACACGUUUAAUACUAACUUUGAAAGCAUCUCACUCAACAGUCAACCCUUGGCAUGACGCGUAUGCGAUACUUUGACAGGAAGUGACUGAACGAGAUGCCAAUGAUAAAUGAUUGUUGUUUUCAUUUUUAUUUUGAUUCACUUUGUUCCUUUAUCUCACUGUUCAUGGCUGAAAUAAUCCAUUUUGACUUUAAUUCAAUAGCAGCAACUGUGAAGGUCUGAAGUUCCCAGCAUGCAUUACCCCAUGCAAUGCUGAACUGUUGCUGUAAUAAAGGAUAUCAAUCGAAGCUUCAGCUACUCUAAGAACUACAUUCAGCGUGAUACUUAGUGGUUAUUUUAAUUAUUUGUUUUAUUAGUUUCUUUUCCAGAUGGUCAAAUCAUGUCUUUGCAAAAAAGUUUGGGGACUGUUGUUCUAGUGCGUUUAGUUGAUGAUGUUGUGUGUC